rnacentral:rRNA from 1 species
GAUGAACGCUGGCGGCGUGCCUAAUACAUGCAAGUCGAGCGAACAGACGAGGAGCUUGCUCCUCUCACGUUAGCGGCGGACGGGAGAGAAACACGUGGAUAACCUACCUAUAAUACUGGUAUAACCUCGGGAAACCGGAUCUAAUACCGGAUAAUAUAUUGCACCGCAUUGUUCAAUAGUGAAAGACGGUUUUGGUGUCACGUCUAGAUGGAUCCGCGCCGCAUUAUGUGGUUGUUAAGGUAACGGGUUACCAAGGCGACGAUGCGUUGCCGACGUGAGAGGGUGAUCGGCCACAUUGGAACUGAAACACGCUCCAGACUCCUACGGGAGGCAGCAGUAGGGAAUCUUCCGCAGUGGGGGAAAGCUUGACGGAGCGAGCCAGCGUGAGUGAUGAAGAUCUUCGGAUCGUAAAACUCUGUUAUUAGUGAAGAACAAAUGUGUACGUAGCUAUGCACUUCUUGACGGUACCGAGUCAGAAAGCAACGGCUAACUACGUG